AACUUAGUGGGAAUGGCUUUGUCAUUUAUGUGAGCCCCUAGAACCUCAUCUGAUAUUUUAUGGUAAUAUGAUGACUCUAUGAGCUGGCCAUACCCAGUAGUCAGAGUGAAACCGGCCAUGUAAAAACGACAAAGCACAGGAUUCAGGGUAGGAGCUUGGGCCCCGUGGUAUCAGUUGACUUACAGACUGAGUUCAACCACAUGGCAACAUAUUAAUCAAUCAUACCUAUGCAAUGAAGUCUUCAUAAAAACUAUGGACAACAAAGUUCUGAGUGUUCAGAAAUAUCAAAUAUGAGCUGAAUAAGAAGUGGAAAGACAAGGAUUCAUCCCUUCCACAGACUACAAACCUGGCUGAUAGAGAGAAUAUUUCAUUUUAGAUCAAAUGAUUCACUGUCAUCUUUGUCUGAUAUUACAACAUAGUGACCACUCAACUAUCCUCAAUGGUAUUUGACUACAUGGAUUCUGUAAAUAGGUGAAGCUUAAGAACACUAUUUUUUUUUCAAGUGCAACAUACUGUAGUCAUAAGAUGAAUGGGGUCUUGCCCAUAUAUCUAUGUGAAAUUUAGUUAAAACAAGCAAUGUGAAGAAUACAUAAUCUCACAUUUUGUAUGUCACACUAUAAAUUCUAUACCAGGAUGUACUUCAUUUUUGCCCUGUUAUUCUCUACCAAAGGGAAACAAAUGAGGAGAGCUCACCAUAUUUGUUUAUUUAUUUAACAUUUGAAAAUCAUAAUCACAGAGCUGAACUUCAUAUUCCUUGGUGUGCUUCAUGUAGCACACCCCAGAUAUAAGUGAGUGGUGGCUUUUUUAUUGGAGAAAUUACAAAGUUUUUUUUCCUAUAUCUGAAAACCCACAUCUGAAGUUUUAAAAUGUGUACCUCUCUAAAAGAUACAAUUGCUUUGUCCUCACCUGUGUGAUGAGGUUAGAUGUUGCCAUUCUGUUAAAAGCAAAACUUCCUACCAGAUGUAUUUUGAAUGAAUUCUUGAUUCACAAUGGAAGUUGCUCACAGCUAAAAUGAAAUAUGUGUUGCCUUCUCUCCAGUUUGUUUUCUCGGAUUUCUAAACACAAAGACAAAAAAGGACAGAAAACACUUUGUAUUUGCUAUAACCUUGAGAAUCAAUCCUAAGAGUUAAAUGUCGAAUUGUUGAAUUACUUGCUCUUAUUAUCCUCUAACUAUUCCAUAUUCUUUUAAUUGACUCAGUGUUGUAAAGAUAAAUGCCUUGGGUUACGCACAACACAGAACACAGCACAAAAUAAUGCAAUUUCAUAAAAGAUCUUCUGUAAUUGCUUAUCACACAUGGCUGUGCAUGACAGAUAAAAACAAUAAAGGAACAAAUGGAAAA